CAAUGGCUGUAGCAAAACUCGCGAAUGCCCGCACAAUGCGCAUUUGCUAUUUUUCCGCCGCAUGCACAGACAAGCCUGGGCUCGGCUGCAGCAUAUGCGGCAGGAAGCGUUCUGCAGUGUCUGCUUUUGCGCGAGAAAUGAGCGACUGAGCAUGCAAGAGGUGGCGGAAAAUAGAUUUCUAUUGUUUGGCCACGUGACUAGACCUAGGACUGUGGCUCCUACGUCUGCCGAGUAGCCACGAUCUGAACCCCCCUUGGGAUCAACUUAGGUCGUGGCACAACACGAACGCCAAAACCACCGGGUCAUAAAAUGGUGCCAAGCACUGACCAUGGGAUCAUAGAAGGUGACUGGGACAUUUUAAUCAAACAUAUCCUGCCAUUCUACAGCGUCAAAAGUGAAGCUAUAGCUUCAAAUGCAUUUAUUUUUUCAACACUGUAAGCAAACUCUUUUGUGCAUAAACCAAUUACUUCCUA